ensembl:lncRNA
GUGUGUGUGUGUGUGUGUGUGAGAGGACGUUCUGCUCGUGUCUUUAUUAGGAACAUCAUCUGUCUGGAGGCAGAGAGAUGGACGUGUAAGCUCCACUGACUCUUCUCAAGGGUCCAGGAUGGAUCCUCUGUUCUCGUUAGGAAGCAAGUUCUCGUCUGGAUCUUUUAGUCUCUGUAAACACUCCCGGUUGGGAAUCUCUGGAGCUCCCAGCGGAGAACUCCAUCACACAUCUGACAUUAAAACAAUUCUCAUCAUUCUUCUUAUGUUGUAUUUAAAAAUCAUAUCCACUCUUUAUUUGCAAUCUCAUGAUGAACGUGAUCGACUGGCAGCGGGGUCAGAUGAUGAUGAUGAUGAUGAUGAUUGUCAUGAUCUGAUCUCGGUUCAUCAGGUGUGUUUAUAAAUCAGUAAACAGCUGUGUAUGUGAUUAGGAUCUUCACCUUCUGAGUUUAAACAGACUCCUGGUGUGGGAACAGUUUCAGAUAUUUUAAUAUUUCAGUUCGACAGAAGUUUUUCCAAACUGAUUUUAAAGGUUUAAAAUCUUUUACUUGUGGGGAAACUUGUUGGAUAUGGUUUUUGCUCAUUUGUAUAAAGGCAUCUGUUGAAAAGAGAAAAUGUAUGGCUUUGAUUCAUGUCUGGAUCUCUGUAAAGUGAAGAUAUUGAACCGAAUUAAAGGUGGAUCUGGAUUCAAGAGCGUCAGAUUCUCUGUGAACCGAAGGUAAGACUCAUUAAUACACAGAAGAUCCAUGUUUAUUCCUCACGUAAAAUAAGUCUUCAAGACAAGAUCUUGACUGUGUGCUUCAGAAAUAUUUUACCCUGGCAAUGUACAGCUCAAGUUGACGCUUAAGUUUAGGUUUUUUUAAAUGAAGAAAACAUCUGGAAACAAUGAGAUUAACAGUAAAUAAUCUACACUUUAUUAAUGGUAUUCACAAAAAGUUUAUUAUUUUUAAAUAAAGAAUCUGCACACAAGCUGAAACCUGAGCAGCACCACGUGGUUCAACUUUGAGAAGGGAUGGUUGUAACCAUCUGUACAUAAUUCAAGCACUGGUUAUUAUACAUUAUACCUUUUUUAAAUCAUUUCUCAAUCUGUUAAUCAAAAUCAAUCUGUACAGGAGCUGCCAACCAUAUUUAUCUGUUUAUCCAUUUAAAUCUCUGAUGCAUUAUGAGCGCUGUUGGGGAAAGAUUCUUUAAAAAGUAAUAUAUUACAAUAUUGGGAUACUCCUUAAAACGUUACUAAUUAAGUAAAUUAGUUGCUUUUUAUGGAAAGUAAUGCGUUAUGUUACUUUUGAGUUACUUUUAAAAUCUGGGCAGGGCUUGCUUGUUUGUUUUUAAUAUAAAAAAGUCAUUUUACAAAUGUAAAUACAGUUUCAUAUCAAAAGUGAAGUGAAUCCUCCUCAGGCUGAAGGAAGUGAAAGCUCUGGUCUGUACAGUAGAGGGCGCACAUCAAACUAAUCACAUGAAGAAUAUGACGCAGAAGAAGAAAGAUCAACUCUAACUAAAAUUACUAUAUAAAUAACUGAUAUUUUCUUCUAAAUUAAGCAUUGUGUUACUUUUACUAGUUGAAAAAGUAAUCUAAUUAUGUAACUUGGUAACUUGUUGGUAACCAGUGUUGGGAAAGUUCACUUUCUACAUGGACUAGUUCAAAGUUCAAUCCACAAAUUUUAAAAUGAACUAGUUCAGUUCAUAGUUCUUUUUUUCCAUAUGUUGCUGUGAGCUAUUUUUCAAAAUUAUUGCCACAUCCCACAUAGAAUCACAGACAGCAAUUAUUUUUAUCAGUUUUUAACAAUGAAGCUAUGCGUCAGAUUUCAUCUUCAUAUCCAAUUUUGAAUCCUUAUCCAACCAGGGUUUACAUUAGCAUUGAGGGGACAGCACUUCCCCCUUGUUGCUUUAAUGCUUUGUCUCCCAUUCUCACCGACCUUGUCAUAAACAUCAUAAAAUUCUUUUAAAUGAUCAUACGCCUUCUUGCUACCAUAGACAGUAAAAGAAAUGGACACAGCUACCCCAUUGGAACUCAAUUGAGACAAGUGAUGCCCAUUUUUAGCGUUUUUUAGCACUUCCGUUUCUGACGCGCAGACUCAAACGAAGCUUGACGACGUCAGCAACCUGUCUGACAGAUGUAAAUCUUCUAGUAGCUGUGCGUGCAAACUGCCAUCGUUAAUCUUGCAGAGACGGCGAGCUUGAGCGGGGAGUUCUUUGUCGUGAGUGAGCAGGAGUAAGUAUUCUGAUUAAUUAUUUUGUAUAGUAUUUUAAAAUGUAACGCCAGUACGCCAUAUUAAGUUAAUUGCCUGCGAGCUUCUCCUCCUGUCUGUACGGUAAUGCGACAGAGAGACGAGUGGUUAUGACGCAAUCGUUAGCCUAUUUUUUACAAAAAGUGUUUCUACGGGGCCAUAAUGUAACAUAGAAGGUAAUGGAGCCCUUUAUACAUUGUCCUGUAUCUUUAGAAAUAAAUAAUGGACAAACAGAGUCUUUAAACGCCUCAGAUGUAAAGUUAUUCACUGUCAAAGUGACGCCAAAAUGAAUGGGAGUCAAUGGGAAUGCUAACGCAAGUGAAGUUCUGCUAAAAGAUGGCAGCCCCCACCCGACUUCAACUUCCGGUCGAGUUCCUUGCCGCCUGGUUGCUACAUGCUGCUGUUUUUUUGAUGACGCGUCACACAUGCAGCGGACGGCGGUGUGACACUGGUGGCUGGUGUUGCCAGAUUGGGUGUUUUUCCGCUACAUAUUAAGACCCGUUUACGGUGUGUUUUAGCCGGGUUUUCGCCUGAAAGGCUCUAUAGAAAUCUGGCACCCUAUUGAACGAAGUUAACCUGAGAGAGCGUGCCGUUCACAGACACCAGAAUGAACAAGUUGACAGUAACAUUCAUCAGGCAUUAAUACAGCACGUUCAGUUCACGUUCGCCCAAAAUAUGAACGAGUUCAUGAAAAAUCCUUCAAUGAACGCGUUUAGGCACAACACUGCCCCCAACACUGAUCACGACAGACACCUGAUAAAGUUCUGCUGGAUUUCUGUUGUGUUGAAGGACGGUCGC